AGUGAACGCUGGCGGUAGGCCUAACACAUGCAAGUCGAACGGCAGCACAGUAAGAGCUUGCUCGUACGGGUGGCGAGUGGCGUACGGGUGAGGAAUACAUCGGAAUCUACUUUUUCGUGGGGGAUAACGUAGGGAAACUUACGCUAAUACCGCAUACGACCUACGGGUGAAAGCAGGGGAUCUUCGGACCUUGCGCGAUUGAAUGAGCCGAUGUCGGAUUAGCUAGUUGGCGGGGUAAAGGCCCACCAAGGCGACGAUCCGUAGCUGGCCUGAGAGGAUGGUGAGCCACACUGGAACGGAGACACGGCCAAGACUCAUCCGGGAGGCAGCAGUGGGGAAUAUUGGACGAUGGGCGGAAGCCUGAUCCAGACAUACCGAGUGGGUGAAGAAGGCCUUCGGGUUGUAAAGCCCUUUUGUUGGGAAAGAAAAGCAGCAGGUUAAUACCCCGAUGUUCUGACGGUACCCAAAGAAUAAGCACCGGCUAACUUCGUG
rnacentral:rRNA from 1 species